GCUAGGCAGCGGCGGGGAUGGCUAGCCGCGGAGCCGGGGCGGUGACGAUAGCAGCGGUUCCGCCAUUGGUCGAGGAGGCCUGAGGGACGGGCCAGCCUGGUGAACAAGGAGAUACCGAGGCGGGUGGCCCCGAGAGAGCGAGGGCAAUGGAGGCUAACAUGCCGAAGCGGAAGGAGCCCGGCAAGUCCCUGCGCAUCAAAGUCAUCUCCAUGGGCAACGCUGAAGUGGGAAAAAGCUGUAUCAUAAAACGGUACUGUGAGAAAAGAUUUGUGUCUAAAUAUCUUGCAACAAUUGGAAUUGACUAUGGAGUCACAAAGGUACAAGUCAGAGACCGAGAAAUCAAAGUUAACAUCUUUGAUAUGGCUGGCCAUCCCUUCUUCUAUGAGGUUCGUAAUGAGUUUUACAAGGACACACAAGGUGUAAUACUGGUCUAUGAUGUUGGGCAGAAGGACUCCUUUGAUGCCCUUGAUGCUUGGCUGGCAGAGAUGAAACACGAUCUGGGGCCUCACGGAAACAUGGAGAAUAUCGUAUUUGCAGUGUGUGCCAACAAGAUUGACUGUACCAAGCACCGCUGUGUGGAUGAAAGUGAAGGGCGUCUCUGGGCUGAAAGCAAAGGAUUCUUGUACUUUGAAACUUCAGCACAAACCGGAGAAGGAAUCAAUGAGAUGUUCCAGACCUUCUACGUAUCUAUUGUUGAUUUAUGUGAAAAUGGCGGCAAACGCCCUGUCCCGAAUAGCAGUGCUAGUUUCACCAAAGAGCAAGCAGACACCAUUCGCAGAAUUCGAAACAGUAAAGACAGCUGGGACAUGCUGGGAGUCAAACCUGGGGCCUCAAGGGACGAAGUCAACAAAGCCUACCGGAAACUCGCGGUGCUGCUUCACCCUGACAAGUGCGUGGCGCCUGGUAGCGAAGAUGCCUUCAAAGCAGUUGUGAACGCCCGGACAGCCCUCCUGAAGAACAUCAAGUAGGAAGUAAGAGAGAAAGACAAGUGUGGGCCUCAAGUACCAACUGACUCUCCCUAGAAGUGAAAUAACCGAUGUGUUUUUGUUUUUUCUCCUCCACAAAAUCGUACUGCCUUUGUCGCCCUUGUUGUCCUUUGUAAAUGAGAAAUCGAGGUGCCUGUUACCAUUUCCCAGACAUUUCACAGAGCGGUGAAGAGAGCCGAGCCGCCCUCGGACACGGUAGCUCACUUCAUACUUCCAGGAUCUAGAAUUGUGGCAGAGGGUGCCUGACCUCUCAUCUUGGCCAAGAGAAGCACUUUGGGGCCGUCGUGCUGUCCCCCGCACUAGCGGCCUCGCUGCGCUCUAGCAGGUCCCACCUGCUGUGCCAUCUGCUGCUGACGUCACGUCCCGCCCUGGCCUCCAGACUUGAGGUUCAAGUGCUCAUCCUCCUGGUUUUCCAGGCUGGCCCUUGGCCUCCGCCGCUCUGCUCCCUGGGCCUCUCAGCACCUCUGCACCCUGCCCACCUGGAGGGUGGGUAACUCCAGGCCACUUUCCCCCAGUCCCACCCUGAGGCCCAGGCCCUGGGGCCCCUUUCAGUCAUCACCACUCUGACUCUGGUGUCCGGUCAGGUGCAACUUCACACCAGGCUUCCCCUGGAAAGUGCAGCCUCCCAGGCUACCCCUUGGAAGCCACAUGGAACUUUUCUGUCUGGCCCUAGGAGUUACCAGUGGGCUGGUAAGCUGGAUCUCAGGUAGGGGUGCGGGGAAACCCUGAGUUGUAGCUUUUGCCCUACUUCUGUCCUAUAAACACUCUCAGCAUCAAGCUGGAAGAUACACCGAAAAGCUUUCAUGAGCAAAGUGCAACCCGACACUGUUUACCCCAGGAAAAUUCGGGAAUGAAUGGGCACGGCUUCCCCAUGCAUCCUCCCACAUCUAAGCUAAGACCUUCCCCUUUCAUCUUCACUUCUCAACUAGAUUGUUAGCUCUUUGGGACAGGAUUACAUCUCAGAGCCUGUCUCCCAAAGCACUUCUCACAGCCACUUGCAGGAGGCCAUCAGUACUUGUGAAGACUGAUUACACUCUUUAACAAAAUUGCCACUAAGGACUUCUUUACGUUUUAAAUUUUAUUUUUUUUACUAACGUGCAAUUGACAUACAAUAUCCUGUUCAUUUCAGGGGCACAUCAUAGUGAAUUGCUACUUUUAUACAUUGUGAAAGGAUCCCCGUGAUAAGUCUAGUUACCAUCUGCUUUUAAACCCUCACUGUUUUUGCUA